AUGCGGAAGCAACAGCACCAGAAGGACAAGAUGUAUCUCACUUGUGCUAAGCACACUCAUUUCUAGGGUGGCAGGAAGCCAGGUAUCUCACAGACAAGUUUUCACCGCUUACCUUUUGACCACUGCAGUCUCUCUCUCCAGCCUUUUGUCUACCCAGUCUGCACCCCAGAAGGUGUCGUCUUUGACUUGCUGAACAUUGUUCCCUGGCUUAAGAAGUAUGGGACGAAUCCCAGCACUGGAGAGAAACUUGAUGGGAAGUCCUUGAUCAAGCUGAACUUUGCAAAGAACAGCGAAGGGCAGUACCACUGUCCAGUGCUGUAUCCCGUGUUCACUGACAACACCCAUAUAGUGGCCAUCAGGACAACUGGCAAUGUCUACACCUAUGAGGCAGUGGAGCAGGUAAACAUCAAGGCCAAGAACUUGAGGGAUCUGUUGACCGAUGAGCCCUUUUCCAGGCAAGACAUCAUCACCCUGUAGGACCCCACCAAUUUGGACAAAUUCAGUGUUAGCAACUUCUUCCAUGUGAAGAAUAACAUGAGAAUAAUAGACCCAGAUGAGGAAAAGGCCAAACAAGACCCAUCUUAUUAUUUGAAAAAUACAAAUGCGGAGACAAGAGAGAUGCUACAGGAGCUCUACAAAGAGUUCAAAGGAGAUGAGAUUUUAGUAGCUACCAUGAGGCCACCUGAGAAGGAGAAGGUGGACCAACUGAAUGCGGCCCAUUAAGCCACAGGGAAGGUCAGUGCAUCCUUCACCUCUACUGCCAUGGUACCUGAGACCACGCAUGAAGAAGCUGUCAUUGAUGAAGAUGUACUGCGCUACCAAUUUGUGAAGAAAAAGGGCUAUGUAAGGCUUCACACCAACAAGGGCGACCUUAACUUAGAGCUGCACUGUGACCUGACACCAAAAACCUGUGAAAACUUCAUCAAGCUCUGCAAGAAACAGUAUUAUCUUUCACAGGUCCAUCAGGAACUUUGUGAUCCAGGGCGGUGACCCCACAGGUACAGGCACAGGUGGACAGUCAUACUGGGGCAAGCCUUUCAAGAUGAGUUCCGUCCCAACCUUUCACACACGGGCCGUGGGAUGCUCAGCAUGGCCAAUUCGGGGCCCAACACCAACAAGUCUCAGUUCUUCAUCACAUUCUGAUCCUGUGCUUACCUGGAUAAGAAGCAUACCAUCUUUGGACGGGUUGUUGGGGGCUUUGACACGCUGACAGCCAUGGAGAAUGUGGAGAGCCCUAAGGAGGAAGUGCGCAUAUGUACAACCACAGUGUUUGUGGACCCCUAUGAGGAGGCCGAUGCCCAGAUUGCCCAGACACAGCAUCAGGUGGAUCCAGAGGCCAAGGUCAAGAUGAAUCAUCCCCAGCCUGGAAACCAGGGACCCCAGACAUACCGCUAUGGGGUGGGCAAGUACAUCCACCCUGCAGCCAGGAACCCAUCAGCAGCGGAAGAACCAUGGACCAGCACGGCCACCCCCAUGGCCAAGAAAAGGCCCAGUCGGGGCUUUGGGGACUUCAGCUCCUGGUAG